GAUGCCUCCCGGCCGCCGUAGGCGAAGGUUCGCGGAAGAGGGGAGCAGGCGCUCACCUGAGCUGACUCAGAAAUUGGAAUGAGUUGUCUGUGGAUCCUGUAAGGAGCCUGGACAUGGUGAAGAGAAUGCCUUGACCAUCAGGAGACAGCUUAGCUUGUUGAAUCUUGAUCACUUCUUCUGACCGCUUUGGAUCUUAAAAGAACAAGGGAUGAUGGUGACUUAUGGUGACAACCAAGAACAGGCUUCAGAAAGAAAGCAGCUGUGUAGCUAUGGCCAAAUUGAACUUCUUGAGUCGGUGUCCUCGCUUGUAAAAUGGACAAUUCUACUGAAGGAAAUUGAAGGUCUUACCGACUCCAUCCAAGGAAUUGACAAGAGAUCCCCAAGAAGGUUGCAUAGAGCGAGUUCUGGGGGCUGGAAAUUCAACAUCAAGGCACAAGCAGAUCAGCAGAUUCAGUGUCUGUUUUCUCCCCCAGAAUAACAUCAAUAGAACUCCCAGUGAAAGAACGUCUUCCUAAGGCAAUUCUGAAGACAAAAAAGCAACAUAAGAACACACUUCCCAAUAAUGUGAAGAUCUAUGACUGUACUAAAUAAAAAUGUUCCCUUAAUGUACUGUAAAAAAUAAAGAUGUUUGGCUAGAUUUA
rnacentral:lncRNA from 1 species